rnacentral:rRNA from 1 species
AGCAGCCGCGGUAAUUCCAGCUCCGAUAGCGUAUAUUAAAGUUGUCGCAGUUAAAAAGCUCGUAGUUGAACUUCGGGGUUUACUCAUUGGUCAGGCUUAAUUGUCUGUACUGGUGAGAUGAAUCUCUACCUUCUGAGGAACUUUCAUGCCAUUUAUUUGGUGUGGUUGGAAAUCAGGACUGUUACUUUGAAAAAUUAGAGUGUUUAAAGCAGGCUAACGUCUGAAUACAUUAGCAUGGAAUAAUGAAAUAGGACGGAUUGAUUCUAUUUCGUUGGUUUCUAGGGUCACCGUAAUGAUUAAUAGGGAUAGUUGGGGGCAUUAGUAUUCAAUUGUCAGAGGUGAAAUUCUUGGAUUAUUGGAAGNCUAACUACUGCGAAAGCAUUUGCCAAGGAUGUUUUCAUUAAUCAAAGAACGAAAGUUAGGGGAUCGAAGACGAUCAGAUACCGUCGUAGUCUUAACCAUAAACUAUGCCGACUAGGGAUCGGACGAAGUUAAUUAAUAAUGACGCGUUCGGCACCUU